CAGAAGGUCACAGAGUAGUCAGUUUUCUAAAGAGGGACAUGCAAGAAGCACAGAACCAGGCAAGACUUAUUGAAUGCACUCUUGGAAGAUUCUCUGCUGCAGGAAUUCUUAGUGGGGGAUGAGUCAUCAAGGCUUCCUGUCUAGGCAGCAAAUGGAGCUCUCCUGAUUCACAGGCACCCUGAUCUUGCAGGUAGACACACAAGCAGGUGUGUCAUUGCAAUAGCAGAUCCAAGAAGCAGCAAGGCCACCCAGGCAUGAGAGGAGAAACAGGACAUUCUGCUCCCAGUUUCCUCUUUUCAAGGCCAUCAGCACACCCAUCUCAAGAAGGAGGUCUGUGGGCUGGCUGAGAGCAGCAGUGCUCUUUGCCAGCACUGUGGUAAGCUGUGCUGCAGGGCUGGGGAGGGUCCUGCCUCAGCCCCCAAAGGUUGGGAGCUGCCUCAGCUCUUGACAUCUGUUCCUUUUCUGCAGUAAUCACUGGGAGUGGCCUUUGGAUGUCAAGUCCCCUGUUGCUGCUUGCAGUGUUCCCACACUUACAAGCUGAGAGGAGAAGAUUUCUGUCCUUGUUCAUCAACAGCUUGGAGAUACUAGGUCUUAGCAAGGCAUCCACAUCCCUCCAGAUGAUGUUUGGCCCUACACCUUUCAUCUCCCGGGCAAAGGCUCUGAUCUGCACUUGAUCUGGAACAAUCACAACGGCCUUUGUGGAUACAUGCAAGUGCAGGACGCAAACAGCAUCUCUGCAAAUACAACUGUUAUGUAAUGAAUGCCAAAUUCAAAGAAAAAUGGCAGAAGACUUUGGUAGACUUUGUUGGUAUUUAUAAGUCAUCAAGGACAUGUAGCUCCAGUAUCACAUAAAUAUGUGCAAUAUGCUUAAUAAGAGAUCUCAGGACAAAGGCUUGAAUGCAGCAUCUCAGCCUGUGGUGUAGUGUGAGCUGUAUUAUGUCUUGCAAGAAACUGUCCUUCACUGAAGAUACUGCUAUAGAUGCCUAAGCACACUUCCACCCAAAACAAAGGCAGCUCAGGAAUUUGAAUAUUGUGGGAAGACUGGCUUUGUCUGGGUAAUAUUUUGGGAAAGAAAUAUGUGUGGGUAGAUGAGAGGCAGUUCAGGUGGGAAGGAAGGAGAGAGCAUGUGGGAAACAGGCAGUGAUGCAGAGCUGCAGCACAGCCAAGUUAUGUGGAUGCCUGUCCUGGGAGGAGCCUGAGAGGCUGGAGAGCUGGCUAGGAAAGAUCCGCUGCUCUGAGAAGAAAAGUUGCCUCCAGUGGUUUGUGUCCUACUGUGUUUAUGAGAGCUGACUCUAUAUUGUUCUACAUAAAAAGAGUUGCAUCAAAAAUGCUGGUCUUUGCUAUUAAUAUCUGUACUUGGAAAAAAAACUUUAGGGCCUGAAUUUUGUGCAGCUGGAAUGGUGUAGGAUUUCAUUUAAUUUAAUGUGGCAUGUUUUCUCCUUUUCCUUGUGCUUCUUCCUUUUCCUGUAGCACAAAAAGCAAGAUCCUGUCUGAGGGCAAAAGUUGGUCCAAAAGUUGGUCCAAAAGUUGGCUCAGCUGGUGUUGACACCUACAGAAGAGGCUGACCUUCAGAUACUUAACUCUCAUCCAUCCAAGUCAAUGUAAGAAAUCCACCUGACCAGCUGUGCUACUGAUGGAGUCCUUCAUCUCAGAUAAACUAUGUUCAAAGGGGAGAUAUCAAAUCAAAGUUUAGUCACAGGGCUUAUUGAGCAAAAACCCCCUGCAGCCCAUAAUCAGAAUAUCGUACAUGAAGCAUAUUUAGACCUGAAAAAUAAUUCAUAGAGAAAAAUCCCUGCCACCUCGCUGAGUCCUGAUAAUGUUCUGGGAGGUUCCACACUUUCUGCUGAGAUGUUUAAAGCAAACUUAGUAGCUAGAGAGGUCACCUAUUAAUGGAGAUGCUACCUUACUGGGCUUCUCUAAUUGCAACCAGCAGUCAAUUUGUUGCCAUCCUGCUUGGCCUCUAGCUGCAAAUGGCAGGGAAAAUAAAACAGCAGCCAUUGAGAUUCA
rnacentral:lncRNA from 1 species